GUCGAGGGGCAGCAUGAACUUAGCUUGCUAAGUUUGAUGGCGACCGGCGCACGGGUGAGUAACACGUAUCCAACCUGCCGAUGACUCGGGGAUAGCCUUUCGAAAGAAAGAUUAAUACCCGAUGGCAUAAUUCUUCCGCAUGGUAGAAUUAUUAAAGAAUUUCGGUCAUCGAUGGGGAUGCGUUCCAUUAGGUUGUUGGCGGGGUAACGGCCCACCAAGCCUUCGAUGGAUAGGGGUUCUGAGAGGAAGGUCCCCCACAUUGGAACUGAGACACGGUCCAAACUCCUACGGGAGGCAGCAGUGAGGAAUAUUGGUCAAUGGACGAGAGUCUGAACCAGCCAAGUAGCGUGAAGGAUGACUGCCCUAUGGGUUGUAAACUUCUUUUAUACGGGAAUAAAGUGAGGCACGUGUGCCUUUUUGUAUGUACCGUAUGAAUAAGGAUCGGCUAACUCCGUGCCAGCAGCCGCGGUAAUACGGAGGAUCCGAGCGUUAUCCGGAUUUAUUGGGUUUAAAGGGAGCGUAGGCGGACGCUUAAGUCAGUUGUGAAAGUUUGCGGCUCAACCGUAAAAUUGCAGUUGAUACUGGGUGUCUUGAGUACAGUAGAGGCAGGCGGAAUUCGUGGUGUAGCGGUGAAAUGCUUAGAUAUCACGAAGAACUCCGAUUGCGAAGGCAGCCUGCUGGACUGUAACUGACGCUGAUGCUCGAAAGUGUGGGUAUCAAACAGGAUUAGAUACCCUGGUAGUCCACACAGUAAACGAUGAAUACUCGCUGUUUGCGAUAUACAGUAAGCGGCCAAGCGAAAGCGUUAAGUAUUCCACCUGGG
rnacentral:rRNA from 1 species